AGGGCUUUUAGGGUAUCCAUUACCCAAAUGAUGUACAUUGUACCCAUUAAGUAAUUUAUCAUCUUACUAGCUUGAGUAAAUUUUUAUACUCUCAAAAAAUCAUGUUUCUACCUGAGUAAAAUGGGGUUACUAACAGGAAUACUUAUCACAAAGAGUAAUAUGUGAUGUAAUGUCAUAAUACAUCUAAAAUAGCACAUUUUCUGGCACAUAAUUCAUGUUUCCUAAAUGUUAUUUAUUUUGCUGUGACUACAUUGAUUAAUGGAGAUACCAAAAAGUGAAAUAAUUUCCCUCCAGGUAUCUCUAGUUAACAGUGGAAUUGAGACUAAAAUCUAAUCUUUAUGCCUCACCAAGUCCUCUUUCUUUUCCUCCUGGGAGUUGUGUUUCAAGAAUAAAAAAUUUCCUUCCUACUGCAGUGGCAGCUCACCCUCCUGUUUCAACUCAGAAGUCCUUCUCCAUUACGACCCCUGUCAAGUGAGGAGUUGCUGUUUCUCCUACUAAUGAGCAGAGCAGGCUGAAGAGGAGGAGGAAGAGGACAAGUUGUUCUUGCUAUCUCAAGAGCGGCAUUGGCAGAAGAGGUGGAAAGGAGGUAGGAGAGACAGGAACACUUGGUAUAACUUUUCUUGAAAAAAAAAAUCUGCAUAUAUGUGGACCCGCGCAAUUGAAAUCCGUGUUGUUCAAGGGUCGACUCAAUUCAACUGGCUUCAGAUUUUUUAUCGGAAACACUGGAAGCCAGAAGAUGAUAGGAUAACCUUUUUUUUUUUUUUUUUUUUUUAAAUCUCAAGACCUUAUUAUCCAGGAAUAUAUGAUUCACUUUUCAGAAUGUAGAAAAUCUUUAUAAAUAUAUUUAAUUUGAGAAAACAUAUAAUUAAUUUGCCCUGUCAGUGGAAAAUAUUCAAAGAGAGCUUAAUUUUUAUAAAAAUGCACAAAUUUAAACAGCAACUUCAAGAAGGGGAAGAGGAAGUGUGCAGAAAGUAAGUGAUAAGCAAUGGUAUUUUCAAUAAACAUGCACACAUAUAUAAUAAUAUCUAGCUUGAUAAAGCUGUACAAUUUGUGAUAUAAAUGUUAAAUAAGAAUUCUUGACAUAGAAAAGACCCACUGCAAGGGUAAUUCCAGAAUAAUAUUGAAAGUACAAAUGACUUCAGAAAAAUCCAGGAGUUGAGCAAAAGGGGAAAUGAAGGAAGAAAAAGUGUUAAAAAUUCCUCAGGCACAGAUGGGAUAAGAGGUUCAGUGAUGGGGAGAAUGUAGGUAUUCUAAAAGUCUCAUCUUAAAGCGGUAGGUUAAGCUGAGAAAUCUAGAGCUUCUUGGUAGAGGACACGGUCAAUGUCCUGUUUUCAGAGAACGGUUAAGAAAAAAAGUAUAUGGUGCAUGGAGCAAGGUAAGAAACUAUAAAUAAGGUAACACUAUGCUAAAGCUACAACCUGACACAGAAAAAAGCUGGAGUGAAUAGCUCCUUGAAUGAGUAACACCCUGAUCAAAUGAAAAGCAAAAACGAAGGACAAAAAAGUAAAACAAUAUAUUAACAGAUGAUAAAAAUAAUCAAAUAUACUAGUAAUUAUACUAAAACUUAAUUUGCUAAAUGCUGAUAUUAAAAAGCAUUUUGGAAAGUUAAAAAACAAGAUAAAUGUGUAGCAACUGAAGCAAAAAAGUUGAUCAAAUCAAAAAUAAAAAGAUAAAACAAGUAAACAAGAUGUGGUUUUAAUGUAAAAAUGCAAAGAAUGGAAUCUACUACAUCUGCCAUUACACUAAAUGUGAAUGUUCUAAAUUAUUUUAUAAAAGAACAUUCUCUCAGAUUGGCUUGAAAGGUAAAACUGGAAUAGAAAUUAAUUGGAAUGAAUAACAACUUAAUUAAAUCAAACUAAAAAGAUAAAAAGAUUGAAUUAGAUAAGAAACAUAAAGAUAUAUAGAAAAGAGUCAAACAUGUCAUAAGUACGCUAAAUGAGAUGAACUGAAUUUUUUCAUUAAAAGAUAUACUCUACCUUUUAAGAAAAACACAGUUAUAUGCUAUUUACAAAAAGUUAAAGAAAAAUUAUAAAAAAUGUAAAAGUAAAGAAUAAACAAAGAUAAAGAUAAAUGGUUGGAGAAAAUGUGGUGUAUAUAUACACAAUGGAAUACUAUUAGCUAUAAAAAAGAAGGACAUUCUGUCAUUUGAGACAACAUGGAUGAACCUGUAGGACAUUAUCUUAAAUGAAAUAAUCCAGGCACAGAAAGAAAACCAUUGCAUGAUCUUAUUUAUUUGUGGAUUCUAAAAGAGUUGAGCUAAUAGAAGCAGAAAAGUAAAAGGAAGGUCACCAGGGGCUAUAGAUAAAAAGUGGAGUUGAAGAGAUCUUAUUUAACAGAUACAAAGUUUUGUUAGAUAGAAGAAAUAAGUUCAAAAGAUCUAUUGUGCAACAUGGUGGCUAUAGGUGAUAACAAUGUAUUGUGUUCUGGGAAAUUGUAAUGAGAGUAGAUUUUAAGUGUUUUCAUCACAAAAAGUGUUAAGUAUGUGAGUUAAUACCUGUAUUGAUUAUCUUAAUUUAGCUAUUGUACAAUGUGUAUAUAUUUCAAAGCAUUAUGUUGUAUAUGAUAAAUAUAUACAAUUUUUGUCAAAUAAAAAAUUAAUUUUAAGAAGAAAAAAGAAUAGACAAAGAGAUAAAAGACUGCAAAGAAGGGGCAACAUAACUAUAACAUAAGGCUGAAACUUCAAAACAUGUUAAAGAGAGACACUUUAUCAUGAUAAAAGGUGCAAGUUAUGAAAAAGGUAGACUCAUGGUAAAUCUGCAUGCAUUAAGCAACAUAAAAGCUAAAUCCAAAAAAAAAAAAAAUUAAAGAUACAAGGAGAGCUUGUUAAAAAUAUCGCUAUAGUAAAACACUUCAGUAUAUCACUUUCAGAAUUGGGAAGAUUCUUUAGAAAUAGAAAUGUAAAGCCAAUGGGAUGUGAAAACCUCAGUCAAUAAACUAACUUUAAUAGGUAUAUGUGUAGAAUCAUAUUGCCUCUUAAAAGGAAAAGAAUUCAACAAAUUUUAAAAAGUAGGAAUUUUAUAGACCAUAUUCUCUGUUCAUAAUCCAAUAAAAUUGAAAAUAAGUAAUGUAAAGGUGAACAUAAAAACCAUAACUAUUGAAAAUUAAGGAGAACAUUUCAAUAUGACCUUCAGUUCAAGGAGAAAGUUAAAACUUAACUUACAAACUACUUAGAAAGUAAUAAGUCAAAUACUUCAUGGUAAAACCUAUAAGCACCAAAACAACUAUUCUCUGAUGAAUACUUGUCAUCUUAAGUGUCUCAUUUUUAAAGAAGAAAGAAAUAACAAAGGACAUUAGUUCUAAUGAAAUUAUAUAAAAUGGUUAACAAAAGGAAACAAGAUACUAAAAGAGAAAGACAUUUUUAAAGACAAAAUCUCAAGGUAAAAAAUGUGAAAUAAUCUUUUCGAAUAGUUGAAAGGAUGAAUUCUACUGCUUUCUUAAUUUGUAUUUUUUGGAAAAGCAAUAAAAAACAAAACCUUUUGGAGCUUGGCUAAGAAAAAGAGAAGGGAGUAAAAAUAUACAUACAAAGAUAGAAAUAAUAAAUGAGAUAUAAUCAUUGCUAUUGAGAAAGAUUAAAAGAAUAGAAAGAAAAUGUUAUUACAACUCUGAAAACAAAUUAAAAAGUCUAAAGGAAAUGUUUCUAGAAAAAUUGGUUAUCAGAUCUAGGGAAAAAUAGGCUCUUAACAUAUACUAUAUGCAAAAUCAAUUAGCCUUGUGCACACAUCUCAAAUUUAAAAUAUUUAGAAAAAGCAUGACAAUAUUUUUUAUCACUUAAGGAGUAGGAGAAGUUAUCUUAAACAAUGAAAAAGAGCAAACUUUAAAGGAAAAGAUUAUGGAAAAAAUUGACCUAUUAAAAAAUUUAAAAUUUUGCUUAAAGACAUUG
ensembl:lncRNA